rnacentral:rRNA from 1 species
UACGUAGGGGGCGAGCGUUGUCCGGAAUUAUUGGGCGUAAAGAGCUCGUAGGCGGUUAUGGAAGUCAGAUGUGAAAUACCGGGGCUCAACUCCGGGGCGCCAUUCGAUACUCCAUUGACUAGAGUCCGGUAGGGGAAGGUGGAAUUCCUGGUGUAGCGGUGAAAUGCACAGAUAUCAGGAGGAACACCGGUGGCGAAGGCGGCCUUCUGGGCCGGUACUGACGCUGAGGAGCGAAAGCUAGGGGAGCGAACAGG